UACAGAGGUCUCAAGCGUUGUUCGGAUUCAUUGGGCGUAAAGGGUGUGUAGGUGGCGCGCUAAGUCGGGUGUGAAAUUUCGGAGCUUAACUCCGAAACUGCAUUCGAUACUGGCGUGCUUGAGGACUGGAGAGGAGACUGGAAUUUACGGUGUAGCAGUGAAAUGCGUAGAUAUCGUAAGGAAGACCAGUGGCGAAGGCGGGUCUCUGGACAGUUCCUGACGCUGAGACACGAAGGCCAGGGGAGCAAACGGG
rnacentral:rRNA from 1 species